rnacentral:rRNA from 1 species
AUUGAACGCUGGCGGCAGGCCUAACACAUGCAAGUCGAACGAGUGGCGGACGGGUGAGUAAUGUCUGGGAAACUGCCUGAUGGAGGGGAUAACUACUGGAAACGGUAGCUAAUACCGCAUUCCAAUAGAUUUGCCCAGAUGGGAUUUGCUUGUUGGUGGGGUAACGGCUCACCAAGGCGACGAUCCCUAGCUGGUCUGAGAGGAUGACCAGCCACACUGGAACUGAGACACGGUCCAGACUCCUACGGGAGGCAGCAGUGGGGAAUAUUGCACAAUGGGCGCAAGCCUGAUGCAGCCAUGCCGCGUGUAUGAAGAAGGCCUUCGGGUUGUAAAGUACUUUCAGCGGGGAGGCGUUACCCGCAGAAGAAGCACCGGCUAACUCCGUGCCAGCAGCCGCGGUAAUAC